rnacentral:rRNA from 1 species
UACGUAGGGUGCGAGCGUUGUCCGGAAUUAUUGGGCGUAAAGAGCUCGUAGGCGGUUUGUCGCGUCGGAUGUGAAAGCCCGGGGCUUAACUCCGGGUCUGCAUUCGAUACGGGCAGGCUAGAGUUCGGUAGGGGAGAUCGGAAUUCCUGGUGUAGCGGUGAAAUGCGCAGAUAUCAGGAGGAACACCGAUGGCGAAGGCAGGUCUCUGGGCAUUAACUGACGCUGAGGAGCGAAAGCAUGGGGAGCGAACAGG